ACAUAGAUAUUUAAAAAUGCUUCAUUUUGGAAAGGGCUGAGUUAUUCCCAGUUUUAGAAUUGAACGGUGGGUCUCCAGUGCAGUUUCCACACGAGGUGUCUUGAUUCAGUCGGUCUGGGGUGGAACCCACAAAGGUACAUAUCUAGCGAGUGGGCAGACAAAGCAGGCACUGUGGGUCUAGGAACUACAAUGCGCUUUGAGGGCAAGCGAGGAGUGCUGGUCUCCUGGGCUUGAUCUUAAAAUACUCCGGCGAUUGAUGGUAGUGUUUUGAGGUUUCUCCAGAACAAACAGGAGCUGUGCCUUUGAGGCCAAAGCUAACAGGGCCUAUAUUUUGUUCAAGAUCUGUUCACUGGCCAGCCUGAGCCCUGACGGGGGCCUCCCUACUGGUGUUACGGGCCCUGCCCACAGUCUCUUGGCUGUUCCACCUCAGCAAGAAGGCAGCCUGACUUCGAGCUGCCAUGCUGGAUCUCUGUUCCAGAGCCUCCUACGGUAGCCCAUCCCACCCACAGCAGCCAGUUGACCAAUGUCAGUCAUUCCAGUGGAACACCCUCAACCAGUGGGGAACACUUAAUGGAACCAGCAGAGGACCACAUGGGACUGAACCCUUGGUACCCACAGCAGGAGUGACUUCAUAACUCAUAUCUUGCUUCCUUCCUCUAUCUCUGCUCGGCCAGCUCUGCCCGAGGACUGUUCCCUAAGUCCUCAUCUCAGGGGAAAUCAACUAAUUCACCUAAGACAUGAAUAAGAAAGGCUGUAUGUUCUUGAGAGAGUCAUAAUUAUUUUACUGUUUUUUUUUUUUUAAGAGGGUCUCAUGUAAUCUACUUUGGCCUUGAACUUACUUUGUAGCAGAGGAUGACCUUGAACUCCUGAUCCUCCUGUCUCUUCCUCCUGGGAGUGUUGGGAUUAUAGGUAUGUACCACCACACCUGGCGCAGCCCCUACCUUUGUCAGGCUUUUGUAAGUGCUGAGGAAUGGAACCCAGGGUCUUACACAUGCUAGGCAAAUUCUACACUGACCUACAUUGCAAGCCCCAAGAAGGGCACCAUUAGAAAGAGAAACAGGAGUUGUCCUAGAAUAACAUGGAAGGUCUGGGAAUAGCAGGCAAGAGUGAGGUCCCUGGGCAGAUGGAGGCAUUCUCCUGGUUGCCUUUUGGAGUUCAGUUAAGGUUACCUUGAGGAAACACACAGUGGGUUUGCUCAGGGGGAGGCCUGGAAACCUGGCCCAAAGGCCUUUUCUCCCACGUGGGGAGGCUUCUCGGGAUGCCCACAGGAGUUGAUGGAUUCCACACAUUUCCACUGUGUUCGCCUUCCCCUCUUGAAACAAGGAUGUGGGGGUGGGGCUUGGCAGAUGUGGCAAAGCUCUUACUCAAAUGUUUGAGGAGUGUUGGAAGCUUGGAGAGUGGUGGAGAAGGGCUGUGCUGGUGGACAGAGUCAAUAUGUUCUCCUGGGUACCCUGCACAAUGCUGAGUUUGUCCAGCCUUCCAUGUGCAUCAUAAUAGGAUCAACCCAAUUCCCCCACUGCCUUUGCAGUGGACCUCAGUUCCCACCCAAGCUCUCCCACGGUGUUCUCUCUCAUUAGAGCCCCCCAAACCCAUACACAACCCAAUAGAAAUGUGUAUGGCAAGAAAAUAUGCCUUGAACUCCAUUUCCUCCAACCAGAUACUUCAUAUGUGGGAAUUUUAGAAGUGCUACUUCUGGUCACCUUUGGUGGGUCAUUUUUAAGAUACAAAGCUCUCCAGAGUUCCUCUUUUCCCCAUUUUCUCUUGGCUCAAGACAGCAUGACACCUAUGGAAGCACUAUGCUGGGAGCAUUGUCAACCCUUCCCCCAUAGCCAGGAAUCAAAAGGAAAUCAGCAGAAGUGUAUGUGGUCACAGGAGGGACACUGGGAAUUGAAUCCAGGGCCUAUCCCACGCCAGAGAACUACUCUACCAAAUGAGCUACAUCCACAACCCUGACUUGCACUUUCAAGAUGCAUGAAGUUUGUGUCAGUGAGAUGGCUCAGCAGCUAAAAGCAACCACUUGCCUCUGGACCUGGUAAACUCAGUUCCAUCCCUAGGAUCCAGGUGGAGAAGGUUGUCCCCUGACCUCUGCUUGCACACUACAGUACAUGUGUGCACACAUACACAGAAAUUUUAAGAAUACUACAAAAAGUUUAGUACAUGAAUUUAAAGCAUAUAAUUUAUACCCCAAGAAGGUAAACACAUAUGAAUAACUGUGUGCUUGUGUAUAUGCAAUGAUGUAUAAUAUAUAUAUAUGCAUACAUGAUGCUUGUCUAGAGGACAAUAGAAAUAAAUAUACCCCAAAUAUGAUAGAAAUUGUGUUUCAUGGAUAAUAUUUUAGGUGUUUCUUUUCUUCUUUUUCGAUUUACCAAGAUUCUCUCUUUUUUUUCUAUGGUAUAAUAAAGCACUCCCAUUUUUAAACUGCAAGUUACUGGGGGCAAGCACUUAGAAUGGUCUAUAAUACACUAGAUUUUUAGUAUGAGGAAAUCUAGAGACCCUUUUCUUUGUGUAUCUAUCCCUAUAUAUUCUCCAAUCCCUCAGUGUCCUUGAUUAAAAACAAAUACAUUAUUUAUUUAUAUCCUUUACCAUCUUCCUAUAUGCAUUGUUUCUUUUAUUUCUUCAGGCAGAAUCUUAUGUGACCCACACUGGCCUCUAACUCUAUGUAGUAGAGGCUGGCUUUGAACUCCUGACCCUUCUGCCUGUAUCCUUCAAGUGUUGGGAUUACAGAAGUAUCCCACCACACCCAGCUACACUAUCUCUUUUUUAACUAUAACAUUUCAUAUGCUCACCAAGGAAUAGGAUACUCUCUAUCUUUAUCACCUAAUACUUCCCUGCCUAACCACCCCACCUACCAGACUGGGGAUUACUGAGCUAUAAUUCCAGCCCAGGGACAAAUCCUUGUUCUUUAUAUUCCCAUCAGUCCUUAACAUAGGG